UACAGAGGGGGGCAAGCGUUGUUCGGAAUUACUGGGCGUAAAGGGCGCGUAGGCGGCCCGCUAAGUCGAACGUGAAAUCCCCGAGCUCAACUCGGGAACUGCGUCCGAUACUGGUGGGCUUGAAUCCGGAAGAGGGAUGCAGAAUUCCAGGUGUAGCGGUGAAAUGCGUAGAUAUCUGGAGGAAUACCGGUGGCGAAGGCGGCAUCCUGGACCGGCAUUGACGCUGAGGAGCGAAAGCUAGGGGAGCAAACGGG
rnacentral:rRNA from 1 species